GAUGAAGAACGUAGCGAAAUGCGAUAAGUAGUGUGAAUUGCAGAAUUCAGUGAAUCAUCGAAUCUUUGAACGCACAUUGCGCCCCUUGGUAUCCCGAGGGGCAUGCCUGUUCGAGCGUCAUUUCACCACUCAAGCCUGGCUUGGUGUUGGGCGACGUCCUCUUUGGGGACGCGCCUCGAAACGCUCGGCGGCGUGGCACCGGCUUUAAGCGUAGCAGAAUCUUUCGCUUUGGAAGUCGGGGCCCCGUCUGCCGGAAGACCUGCUCGCAAGGUUGACCUCGGAUCAGGCAGGAAUACCCGCUGAACUUAAGCAUAUCAAUAAGCGGAGGA
rnacentral:misc_RNA from 1 species